rnacentral:tRNA from 2 species
GGCCGGGUGGCUUAGCUGGACAUAGCGCCGCACUCAUAGGGUUACCGAGAUUCGGUGCGGUUACCGCCUUGGAAGCGUCCGCUCCCAUGAGGCCUGCCGAGCCUCGUACCUGGGAUAUGCGGAGAUCGUGGGUUCGGAGCCCACCCCGGCCA